GGGUAAACCUGAGAAACCCGAAAGGUCGAACGGGGAGAUUCAACCGCGUCUCGGAAUCGGCGAGUGGCGUUCUAGCGACAGUCGGCGUUCGCGUCGGCUGCGCUGUUCGUUCCCGUCCGGUUUCGAAUGCGUGCACUUCUCCUCUUGUAGGACGUCGCGACCCGUUGGGUGCCGGUCUAAGGCGUACGGUGGAGCCCGUUCGGACGGUUCGCCGUUCCGAGCGGACCCGUGCUGUCCCGCCCGGCUUGCCCGACGGUAUGCAAAUGGCGCGGGGCCGCGAUUUUCGCGUCCGACCCGUUGCAAGUUCGAACUAAGUGCGGAUCACGGACCUAGUGCCGAAUCUGUACCAGUUUGGCUGUUGGCGACGGUUGUCUCGGACGGUCCCGAUAAACGCCGGUCGGCGACGCUAUAGCUUUGGGUACUUUCAGGACCCGUCUUGAAACACGGACCAAGGAGUCUAGCAUGUGCGCGAGUCAUUGGGACUAGCGAAACCUAAAGGCGUAAUGAAAGUGAAGGCGCGCUUUCGCGCGCCGAGGGAGGAUGGGUCGCGUCUAGGCGCGGCUCCGCACUCCCGGGGCGUUUCAUUCUCAUCGCGAGAAGAGGCGCACCCAGAGCGUACACGCUGGGACCCGAAAGAUG
rnacentral:rRNA from 1 species